rnacentral:rRNA from 1 species
AGCAGCCGCGGUAAUUCCAGCUCCAAUAGCGUAUAUUAAAGUUGUUGCAGUUAAAAAGCUCGUAGUUGAAUUUCGGGAUCAGUUCGCUGGUCGUGCCUCUGGUAUGUACUGGUGUUACUGGUUCCUCCCUUCUGACGAACUGUCAUGUCAUUUAUUUGGUGUGGCGGGGAAUCAGGACUGUUACUUUGAAAAAUUAGAGUGUUUAAAGCAGGCUCGCGCUUGAAUACAUUAGCAUGGAAUAAUGAAAUAGGACGUUCGAUCCUAUUUUGUUGGUUUCUAGGAUUGACGUAAUGAUUAAUAGGGAUAGUUGGGGGCAUUAGUAUUCAAUUGUCAGAGGUGAAAUUCUUGGAUUUAUUGAAGACUAACUACUGCGAAAGCAUUUGCCAAGGAUGUUUUCAUUAAUCAAGAACGAAAGUUAGGGGAUCGAAGACGAUCAGAUACCGUCGUAGUCUUAACCAUAAACUAUGCCGACUAGGGAUCGGAUGAUGUUAAUUUUUAAUGA